UACGGGGGGAGCAAGCGUUGUUCGGAUUUACUGGGCGUAAAGGGCGCGUAGGCGGUCGUGACAAGUCACUUGUGAAAUCUCCGGGCUUAACUCGGAACGGUCAAGUGAUACUGUCGGACUAGAGUACAGAAGGGGCAACUGGAAUUCUCGGUGUAGAGGUGAAAUUCGUAGAUAUCUGGAGGAACACCGGUGGCGAAGGCGGCAUCCUGGACCAAUAUUGACGCUGAGGAGCGAAAGCUAGGGGAGCAAACGGG
rnacentral:rRNA from 1 species